GGUGAGAUGGCCGAGUGGUUAUGGCGCCGUGUUCAGGAAAACACGAUUUACCACCUUCAAAGGUUGUAAAUUGGGUAUCGUGAACAAUUCGCGGUGGAGCAAUCCGCGUGGGUUCGAGUCCCACUCUCAUCA